rnacentral:rRNA from 1 species
UACAGAGGUCUCAAGCGUUGUUCGGAUUCAUUGGGCGUAAAGGGUGCGUAGGUGGCGUCGUAAGUCAGGGGUGAAAUCCUGGAGCUCAACUCCAGAACUGCCUUUGAUACUGGAAAGCUUGAGUUCGGGAGAGGUGAGUGGAACUGCGAGUGUAGAGGUGAAAUUCGUAGAUAUUCGCAAGAACACCAGUGGCGAAGGCGGCUCACUGGCCCGAUACUGACGCUGAGGUGCGAAAGCGUGGGGAGCAAACAGG